GACGAACGCUGGCGGCGUGCUUAACACAUGCAAGUCGAACGAUGAAGAAGAGCUUGCUCUUCGGAUUAGUGGCGAACGGGUGAGUAACACGUGACUAACCUGCCCCUUUCUCUGGGAGAACGCUCCGAAAGGAGUGCUAAUACCGGAUACUCACAUCGAGGCACAUGCCUUGAUGUGGAAAGUUUUUCGGAAAGGGAUGGAGUCGCGGCCUAUCAGCUUGUUGGUGGGGUAACGGCUCACCAAGGCGACGACGGGUAGCCGGCCUGGGAGGGCGACCGGCCACACUGGGACUGAGACACGGCCCAGACUCCUACGGGAGGCAGCAGUGGGGAAUAUUGCACAAUGGGCGAAAGCCUGAUGCAGCGACGCCGCGUGAGGGAUGAAGGUCUUCGGAUUGUAAACCUCUUUCAGUAGGGACGAAGCGAAAGUGACGGUACCUAAAGAAGAAGCACCGGCUAACUACGUGCCAGCAGCCGCGGUAA
rnacentral:rRNA from 1 species